AAUAUUGGACAAUGGGCGAAAGCCUGAUCCAGCCAUGCCGCGUGUGUGAAGAAGGUCUUCGGAUUGUAAAGCACUUUAAGUUGGGGGAAGGGGUGUUGGAUAAUUCUUCUGCAUUUUGAAGGUACCGAACGGAAAAACCACCGCUUAACUCCUUCCAGCAGCCGCGGUAAUACGAAGGGUGCAAGCGUUAAUCGGAAUUACUGGGCGUAAAGCGCGCGUAGGUGGUUUGUCAAGUUGGAAGUGAAAGCCCCGGGCUCAACCUGGGAACUGCUUUCAAAACUGGCAAGCUAGAGUAUGGCAGAGGGUGGUGGAAUUUCCUGUGUAGCGGUGAAAUGCGUAGAUAUAGGAAGGAACAUCAGUGGCGAAGGCGACCACCUGGGCUAAUACUGACACUGAGGUGCGAAAGCGUGGGGAGCAAACAGG
rnacentral:rRNA from 1 species